ACAUUGCUCCUUGAUAAAUUAUAAGGAGUACCUCCUGCCCAGUGAAACUCUUCAACGGCCGCGGUAUUUUAACCGUGCAAAGGUAGCAUAAUCAUUUGCCCAUUAAUUGUGGGCUAGAAUGAACGGAUUAACGAAAUAAGGACUGUCUCUACUACUUACAUGUAAAUUAAUAUUUAGGUGAAGAAGCCUAAAUAAGAUUGAAGGACAAGAAGACCCUAUAGAGCUUUAUUUUAACAAGAGCCUUUCUUAAAUAAAUUCGGUUGGGGCGACUAAGGAGAUCUAAAUCCUCCUACUUUAAAAGAUUUAUAUAUCUAAAAAAAGACCCUGCAAAGAACACUAGACCUAGCUACCUUAGGGAUAACAGGCUAAUUCUUCUUAAGAGUUCUUAUCUAUAGUAGAGUUUGGCACCUCGAUGUUGGCUUAGGGAAUCUUAAUGGAGCAAAAACUGUUACAGAAGGUUUGUUCAACCUAUAAAUCCCUACGUGAUC
rnacentral:rRNA from 1 species